rnacentral:rRNA from 1 species
GCCUACGGGAGGCAGCAGUGGGGAAUAUUGCACAAUGGGGGAAACCCUGAUGCAGCGACGCCGCGUGAGUGAAGAAGUAUUUCGGUACGUAAAGCUCUAUCAGCAGGGAAGAUAAUGACGGUACCUGAGUAAGAAGCCCCGGCUAACUACGUGCCAGCAGCCGCGGUAAUACGUAGGGGGCAAGCGUUAUCCGGAUUUACUGGGUGUAAAGGGAGCGCAGGCGGUACGGCAAGUCUGAUGUGAAAGCCCGGGGCUCAACCCCGGUACUGCAUUGGAAACUACCGGACUGGAGUGUCGGAGGGGUA